CAGCCGCCGCGGUAAAACGAAGGGGGCUAGCGUUGCUCGGAAUGACUGGGCGUAAAGGGCGCGUAGGCGGUUCGUACAGUCGGAUGUGAAAUUCCUGGGCUUAACCUGGGGGCUGCAUUCGAUACGUGCGGGCUUGAGUGUGGAAGAGGGUUGUGGAAUUCCCAGUGUAGAGGUGAAAUUCGUAGAUAUUGGGAAGAACACCGGUGGCGAAGGCGGCAACCUGGUCCAUGACUGACGCUGAGGCGCGAAAGCGUGGGGAGCAAACAGGAUUAGAUACCCCCGUAGUCCCUGUCUCUUAUAU
rnacentral:rRNA from 1 species